AACGCGAAGAACCUUACCUGGGUUGAACUACGCAGGAAAAGCCGUAGAGAUACGGUGUCCGAAAGGGCCUGUGAUAGGUGGUGCAUGGCUGUCGUCAGCUCGUGUCGUGAGAUGUUGGGUUAAGUCCCGCAACGAGCGCAACCCUUGUCCUAUGUUGCCAGCGGGUAAUGCCGGGGACUCGUAGGAGACUGCCGGGGUCAACUCGGAGGAAGGUGGGGACGAAGUCAAGUCAUCAUGCCCCUUACGUCCAGGGCUGCACACAUGCUACAAUGGCCGGUACAAAGGGCUGCUAUUCCGCGAGGAUGAGCGAAUCCCAAAAAGCCGGUCUCAGUUCGGAUCGUAGUCUGCAACUCGACUACGUGAAGUCGGAGUCGCUAGUAAUCCCGGAUCAGCAACGCCGGGGUGAAUACGUUCCCGGGCCUUGUA
rnacentral:rRNA from 1 species